rnacentral:rRNA from 1 species
AUAACGGUCCUAAGGUAGCGAAAUUCCUUGUCAGGUAAGUUCUGACCCGCACGAAAGGUGUAACGAUCUGGGCACUGUCUCAACAACCCGCCCGGCGAAAUUGUAGUACCGGUGAAGAUGCCGGUUACCCGCGACUAGACGGAAAGACCCCAUGGAGCUUUACUGUAGCCUAAUAUUGGAUUUCGGUAUUUCACGUACAGGAUAGGUGGGAGACUGGGAAGCACAGGCGUCAGCUUGUGUGGAGUCGACCUUGGGAUACCACUCUUGGAGUGCUGGAAUUCUAACCUGCGGCUUUGAAGCAAGUCGGGGGACAUUGUUAGGUGGGCAGUUUGACUGGGGCGGUCGCCUCCUAAAGAGUAACGGAGGCGCUCAAAGGUUCGCUCUGCAUGGAUGGAAACCAUGCGUCAGAGUGUAAACGCAAAAGCGAGCCUAACUGCGAGAAUGACGGUUCGAGCAGUAACGAAAGUUGGAGUUAGUGAUCCGGCGGUAUGUGAAUGGAAAUGCCGUCGCUCAACGGAUAAAAGCUACCCUGGGGAUAACAGGCUGAUCUCCCCCAAGAGUCCACAUCGACGGGGAGGUUUGGCACCUCGAUGUCGGCUCAUCGCAUCCUGGGGCUGAAGUAGGUCCCAAGGGUUGGGCUGUUCGCCCAUUAAAGCGGUACGCGAGCUGGGUUCAGAACGUCGUGAGACAGUUCGGUCCCUAUCUGUCGUGGGCGCAGGAUAUUUGAAGGAAGCUGUCCCUAGUACGAGAGGACCGGGAUGGACGCACCUCUGGUGCACCAGUUGUCACGCCAGUGGCACAGCUGGGCAGCUAUGUGCGGAACGGAUAAACGCUGAAGGCAUCUAAGCGUGAAGCCGCCCUUAAGAUAAGAUAUCCCUUCUGUUUACAGAGUAAGACCCCUUGAAGACUACAAGGUUGAUAGGCUCAAAGUGUAAGCACGGUGACGUGUUUAGCUAGCGAGUACUAAUCGGUCGAGGGCUUAACCUU